rnacentral:rRNA from 1 species
GACGAACGCUGGCGGCGUGCUUAACACAUGCAAGUCGAACGGAAAGGCCCUGCUUUUGUGGGGUGCUCGAGUGGCGAACGGGUGAGUAACACGUGAGUAACCUGCCCUUGACUUUGGGAUAACUUCAGGAAACUGGGGCUAAUACCGGAUAGGAGCUCCUGCUGCAUGGUGGGGGUGGGAAAUUUUCGGGGGUGGGGGAUGGACUGGCGGCUUUUCAGCUUGUUGGUGGGGUAGUGGCUUACCAAGGCUUUGACGGGUAGCCGGCCUGAGAGGGUGACCGGCCACAUUGGGACUGAGAUACGGCCCAGACUCCUACGGGAGGCAGCAGUGGGGAAUAUUGCACAAUGGGCGGAAGCCUGAUGCAGCAACGCCGCGUGCGGGAUGACGGCCUUCGGGUUGUAAACCGCUUUCGCCUGUGACGAAGCGUGAGUGACGGUAAUGGGUAAAGAAGCACCGGCUAACUACGUG